GCGGCUGCUGCACGUAUACACGUCCGUACGUACGUAUAAACCAUGUAUACGCGGGCGGCUGGAAACGACGAGAGAGGACAGGGAAAACGAUACAGAGACGCACAUGAUACAGAUGUGUGCAGCGCCGCGCGCCGGAGACCGAAAGAUAAGGCUGCGUCCACAAUUGAGCGUAUACGUUAGGGUUUACGUAGAACAUAACGUUUUGGGCAGUACUGCCAAUCCACUGUAGCAGACUGCAGUUGAAACGAAGGAACACACCUGCUCAAAAUUUAACCUAUAAAAAUGUUUAAAUUUGAAUUGUAUGGAUCGGAAGAGCGUCG